rnacentral:rRNA from 1 species
CCUACGGGAGGCAGCAGUGAGGAAUAUUGGUCAAUGGUCGGGAGACUGAACCAGCCAAGCCGCGUGAGGGAUGAAGGUACAGAGUAUCGUAAACCUCUUUUGUCAGGGAACAAAGGCGGGGACGUGUCCCCGGAUGAGUGUACCUGAAGAAAAAGCAUCGGCUAACUCCGUGCCAGCAGCCGCGGUAAUACGGAGGAUGCGAGCGUUAUCCGGAUUUAUUGGGUUUAAAGGGUGCGCAGGCGGAGGUGCGAGUCAGCGGUCAAAUUGCGGGGCUCAACCCCGUACUGCCGUU